UCGGGUGUGGCGCACGGUGCGCGGCAACUUGUAAUUAUCCCUAGCCGACGAAGGAUGGAAGUUGCACAUCCGGGUUCGACCCCUGGCGCCCGAA